CAGCUGUUUGCUGCCAACUGUGGUUCAGAAUUGACAUUAAUUGCAAACAUGUUUUGCCUGACAAACCUUGCCUCCCGUCUGUCCAUGUUUCAUCUUCAUCAAAGUGCACGUCUCCUCCUAUCCCCCCUCCUGGCUGAAAGGCAUGAGCCAGCACACCACGGGGUCCAUCAAAGGGAAAGAAAUCUCCAUGAACUGCGACAGAAAAGACACUUCUUCGCACUUUGAAUGAAACAAGACUCAUAAACAAGUGUCCUGUCUUUGUAUCUUUAUUUGUGGCAUCAUUAACCAUAAUUAGGACCUCUGUUUUGAAUGUAUCUUAACCAACAUAAUAAUUGUUCAGAUGUGGUUUUCAGAUUUACUUCUGCGGGCGAAGGAGAACACUAUAUCAGCUUUGCCAUGGUUGACUUUGAUGAAGCUCAGCGGUGCUGCAUCACUCCACAUCUUCAGGGCUGAACGAAAGGACUUUUCCACAUCCUCUUUCUUCAUGUCCGGAGUGUAUUUGGCAAUCCUGCACGCCAGCACCCAAAGAUGGACACACAAACAUGAGACAGUGGGAGCAACAACUUCCACUGCUGCAGCUACGGCCUUUCGGGAUAAAAGCUGAAGUUUUCUACGUCUUGAACACCACACCUCGGCUCCCUCAUCACAUUCAGGGUGUGAGGGUCCAGUCGACCCGUCUCUCUCAGACCAAAGAAGUUUUGCAUUUCUCUGAGCUUCUCUUCCAUGGCUGACGUGGACCUGAUCCUUCUUCCAGACACUCUGCUUCUGGGGUUCAGGUUGUAAAAUCUCCUGAGGUAGCCCUGUUGU